CAACUAUUCCCUCCGUCCCAAAUUUCUUGUCUUAGAUUUGCCUAGAUACGGAUGUAUCUAAUACUAAAAUGUGACUUGAUACAUCCGUAUCUAGACAAAUCUAAGACAAGAAUUUUGGGACGGAGGGAGUACUUA
rnacentral:pre_miRNA from 1 species